rnacentral:rRNA from 1 species
ACAGUGGACGCGAGCAUCUUUGAUUUUUUUGUGGUCAAGUUUUUAAGAGCAAUCGGUGGAUGCCUUGGCAUCAGGAGCCGAAGAAGGACGUAGUAGCCUGCGAUAAGCCUCGGGAAGUCGGCAAACGGACGUUGAUCCGAGGAUCUCCGAAUGGGGAAACCCAGCUGCAGUCAUGUGCAGUUACCCUCACCUGAACUCAUAGGGUGAGUGGAGGGAACGUGGGGAAGUGAAACAUCUCAGUACCCACAGGAAGAGAUAUUCCGUUAGUAGUGGCGAGCGAACGCGGAUCAGGCUAAACCGUGCGUGUGUGAUAGCCGGCAGGUGUUGCACGUGCGGGGUUGUGGGACUCGUUGGCUGGUUCUGCCGAACUGGCGAAGAGUGAUCAAGUCUCGUGAUAGACGAACGGCAUUGAAUGGUCGAGCAUAGAGGGUGUUACUCCCGUAGUCGAAAUCGCGUGGCCUCUUGAUGAGUAUCCCAAGUAGCACGGGGCCCGAGAAAUCCCGUGUGAAUCUGCCAAGACCACUUGGUAAGCCUAAAUACUACCUGAUGACCGAUAGCGGACAAGUACCGUGAGGGAAAGGUGAAAAGUACCCCGGGAGGGGAGUGAAAUAGUACCUGAAACCGAUUGCUUACAAUCCGUUGGAGCCUCCAUGGUUGGGGUGACAGCGUGCCUUUUGAAGAAUGAGCCUGCGAGUUAGUGGUACGUGGCGAGGUUAACCCGUGUGGGGAAGCCGUAGCGAAAGCGAGUCCGAAAUGGGCGUUUGAGUCGCGUGCUCUAGACCCGAAGCGGAGUGAUCUAUCCAUGGCCAGGUUGAAGCGCGGGUAAGACCGCGUGGAGGACCGAACCCACCUAGGUUGAAAACUGGGGGGAUGAGCUGUGGAUAGGGGUGAAAGGCCAAUCAAACUCCGUGAUAGCUGGUUCUCCCCGAAAUGCAUUUAGGUGCAGCGUCACGCGUUUCUUACCGGAGGUAGAGCACUGGAUGGCCGAUGGGCCCCACUAGGUUACUGACGUCAACCAAACUCCGAAUGCCGGUAAGUGAGAGCGUGGCAGUGAGACUGUGGGGGAUAAGCUUCAUAGUCGAGAGGGAAACAGCCCAGACCACCAGCUAAGGCCCCUAAGCGUGUGCUAAGUGGGAAAGGAUGUGGAGUUGCACAGACAACCAGGAGGUUGGCUUAGAAGCAGCCACCCUUGAAAGAGUGCGUAAUAGCUCACUGGUCAAGUGAUUCCGCGCCGACAAUGUAGCGGGGCUCAAGUACACCGCCGAAGCUGUGGCAUUCAUGCGUUAACCAGGCUCAUCCCUUUGGGGGUGUCCAGGUGUGUGGAUGGGUAGGGGAGCGUCGUGUGGCGGGUGAAGCGGCGGAGUGAUCCAGCCGUGGAUGCCACACGAGUGAGAAUGCAGGCAUGAGUAGCGAAAGACGGGUGAGAAACCCGUCCGCCGAAUGACCAAGGGUUCCAGGGCCAGGUUAAUCCGCCCUGGGUUAGUCGGGACCUAAGGCGAGGCCGACAGGCGUAGUCGAUGGAUGACGGGUUGAUAUUCCCGUACCGAUGCGAAGGACCGUCCAUACCGAGCCCGGUGAUGCUAAUCGUCCGAGCCGCUCAUCGUCCCUUCGGGGACACCGGGUGGUUGAGCACGAGAACCGAUCUGGUAGUAGGUAAGCGUAUUAACAGGAGGGACGCAGGAAGGUAGCCCACCGUGCCGAUGGUUGUGCACGCUCAAGGUUGUAGGGUGAGGAGUAGGUAAAUCCGCUCCUCGUGUGCCUGAGAACCGAUGGUGACAGCGUGCUGGAUAAAGGGUGCCUAUGCUAUGCUGCCGAGAAAAGCUCCGGCGCGAGGUCCUAGCUGCCCGUACCCUAAACCAACUCAGGUGGUCAGGUAGAGAAUACUAAGGCGAUCGAGAUCGAGAUAAUCACGGUUAAGGAACUCGGCAAAAUGCCCCCGUAACUUCGGGAGAAGGGGGGCCUGAGGCGUGAACACCCUUGCGGUGGGAGCGUUUGAGGGCCGCAGAGACCAGAGAGAAGCGACUGUUUACUAAAAACACAGGUCCGUGCGAAGUCGUAAGACGAUGUAUACGGACUGACGCCUGCCCAGUGCUGGAAGGUUAAGAGGACGGGUUAGCCGUAAGGCGAAGCUCAGAAUUUAAGCCCCAGUAAACGGCGGUGGUAACUAUAACCAUCCUAAGGUAGCGAAAUUCCUUGUCGGGUAAGUUCCGACCUGCACGAAUGGCGUAACGACUUCUCUGCUGUCUCAACCGUGAACUCGGCGAAAUUGCAUUACGAGUAAAGAUGCUCGUUACGCGCAGCAGGACGGAAAGACCCCGGGACCUUUACUAUAGCUUGGUAUUGGUAUUCGGGACGGCUUGUGUAGGAUAGGUGGGAGACUUUGAAGCGGGCACGCCAGUGUUCGUGGAGUCAUUGUUGAAAUACCACUCUGGUCGUUCUGAAUAUCUAACCUCGGUCCGUGAUCCGGAUCAGGGACAGUGCCUGGUGGGUAGUUUAACUGGGGCGGUUGCCUCCUAAAAUGUAACGGAGGCGCUCAAAGGUUCCCUCAGUCUGGUUGGUAAUCAGGCAUUGAGUGUAAGUGCACAAGGGAGCUUGACUGCGAGACGGACAUGUCAAGCAGGGACGAAAGUCGGAACUAGUGACCCGACGGUGGCUUGUGGAAGCGCCGUCGCUCAACGGAUAAAAGGUACCCCGGGGAUAACAGGCUGAUCUUGCCCAAGAGUCCAUAUCGACGGCAUGGUUUGGCACCUCGAUGUCGGCUCGUCGCAUCCUGGGGCUGGAGUCGGUCCCAAGGGUUGGGCUGUUCGCCCAUUAAAGCGGUACGCGAGCUGGGUUUAGAACGUCGUGAGACAGUUCGGUCCCUAUCCGCUGCGCGCGUAGGAAAUUUGAGAAGGGCUGUCCUUAGUACGAGAGGACCGGGACGGACCAACCUCUGGUGUGCCAGUUGUUCUGCCAAGAGCACGGCUGGUUGGCUACGUUGGGAAGGGAUAACCGCUGAAAGCAUCUAAGCGGGAAGCCUGCUUCAAGAUGAGAUUUCCAUACCCGUUAGGGUGAGAGGCUCCCAGUAGACCACUGGGUUGAUAGGCCGGAUGUGUAAGCGAGGACUAACGACUCGUUCAGCUGACCGGUACUAAUAUGCCGAUAACUUCACCACA